rnacentral:rRNA from 1 species
GACAGCAGUAGCCGCGGUAAUACGCAGGUGGCAAGCGUUGUCCGGAAUUAUUGGGCGUAAAGGGCUCGCAGGCGGUUUCUUAAGUCUGAUGUGAAAGCCCCCGGCUCAACCGGGGAGGGUCAUUGGAAACUGGGAAACUUGAGUGCAGAAGAGGAGAGUGGAAUUCCACGUGUAGCGGUGAAAUGCGUAGAGAUGUGGAGGAACACCAGUGGCGAAGGCGACUCUCUGGUCUGUAACUGACGCUGAGGAGCGAAAGCGUGGGGAGCGAACAGGAUUAGAUACCCCCGUAGUCCCUGUCUCUUAUAC